rnacentral:rRNA from 1 species
UUAAGCGACUAAGCGUACACGGUGGAUGCCCUGGCAGUCAGAGGCGAUGAAGGACGUGCUAAUCUGCGAAAAGCGUCGGUAAGGUGAUAUGAACCGUUAUANNNNNNNNNNNNNNNNNNNNNNNNNNNNNNNNNNNNNNNCACUAUCGUUAACUGAAUACAUAGGUUAACGAGGCGAACCGGGGGAACUGAAACAUCUAAGUACCCCGAGGAAAAGAAAUCAACCGAGAUUCCCCCAGUAGCGGCGAGCGAACGGGGAGCAGCCCAGAGUCUGAAUCAGCUUGUGUGUUAGUGGAACGGUCUGGAAAGUCCGACGGUACAGGGUGAUAGUCCCGUACACCAAAAUGCACAGGCUGUGAACUCGAAGAGUAGGGCGGGACACGUGGUAUCCUGUCUGAAUAUGGGGGGACCAUCCUCCAAGGCUAAAUACUCCUGACUGACCGAUAGUGAACCAGUACCGUGAGGGAAAGGCGAAAAGAACCCCGGCGAGGGGAGUGAAAAAGAACCUGAAACCGUGUACGUACAAGCAGUGGGAGCACCUUCGGGUGUGACUGCGUACCUUUUGUAUAAUGGGUCAGCGACUUAUAUUCUGUAGCAAGGUUAACCGUAUAGGGGAGCCGCAGGGAAACCGAGUCUUAACUGGGCGUUAAGUUGCAGGGUAUAGACCCGAAACCCGGUGAUCUAGCCAUGGGCAGGUUGAAGGUUGGGUAACACUAACUGGAGGACCGAACCGACUAAUGUUGAAAAAUUAGCGGAUGACUUGUGGCUGGGGGUGAAAGGCCAAUCAAACCGGGAGAUAGCUGGUUCUCCCCGAAAGCUAUUUAGGUAGCGCCUCGUGAACUCAUCUUCGGGGGUAGAGCACUGUUUCGGCUAGGGGGUCAUCCCGACUUACCAACCCGAUGCAAACUACGAAUACCGAAGAAUGUUAUCACGGGAGACACACGGCGGGUGCUAACGUCCGUCGUGAAGAGGGAAACAACCCAGACCGCCAGCUAAGGUCCCAAAGUCAUGGUUAAGUGGGAAACGAUGUGGGAAGGCACAGACAGCCAGGAUGUUGGCUUAGAAGCAGCCAUCAUUUAAAGAAAGCGUAAUAGCUCACUGGUCGAGUCGGCCUGCGCGGAAGAUGUAACGGGGCUAAACCAUGCACCGAAGCUGCGGCAGCGACACUAUGUGUUGUUGGGUAGGGGAGCGUUCUGUAAGCCUGCGAAGGUGACCUGUGAGGGUUGCUGGAGGUAUCAGAAGUGCGAAUGCUGACAUAAGUAACGAUAAAGCGGGUGAAAAGCCCGCUCGCCGGAAGACCAAGGGUUCCUGUCCAACGUUAAUCGGGGCAGGGUGAGUCGACCCCUAAGGCGAGGCCGAAAGGCGUAGUCGAUGGGAAACAGGUUAAUAUUCCUGUACUUGGUGUUACUGCGAAGGGGGGACGGAGAAGGCUAUGUUAGCCGGGCGACGGUUGUCCCGGUUUAAGCAUGUAGGCUGGUUGUCCAGGCAAAUCCGGAUAAUCAAGGCUGAGGUGUGAUGACGAGGCACUACGGUGCUGAAGUAACAAAUGCCCUGCUUCCAGGAAAAGCCUCUAAGCAUCAGGUAACAUUAAAUCGUACCCCAAACCGACACAGGUGGUCAGGUAGAGAAUACCAAGGCGCUUGAGAGAACUCGGGUGAAGGAACUAGGCAAAAUGGUGCCGUAACUUCGGGAGAAGGCACGCUGGUGUGUAGGUGAAGUCCCUGCGGAUGGAGCUGAGACCAGUCGAAGAUACCAGCUGGCUGCAACUGUUUAUUAAAAACACAGCACUGUGCAAACACGAAAGUGGACGUAUACGGUGUGACGCCUGCCCGGUGCCGGAAGGUUAAUUGAUGGGGUUAUCCGUAAGGAGAAGCUCUUGAUCGAAGCCCCGGUAAACGGCGGCCGUAACUAUAACGGUCCUAAGGUAGCGAAAUUCCUUGUCGGGUAAGUUCCGACCUGCACGAAUGGCGUAAUGAUGGCCAGGCUGUCUCCACCCGAGACUCAGUGAAAUUGAACUCGCUGUGAAGAUGCAGUGUACCCGCGGCAAGACGGAAAGACCCCGUGAACCUUUACUAUAGCUUGACACUGAACAUUGAGCCUUGAUGUGUAGGAUAGGUGGGAGGCUUUGAAGCGUGGACGCCAGUCUGCGUGGAGCCAACCUUGAAAUACCACCCUUUAAUGUUUGAUGUUCUAACGUUGGCCCCUUACCGGGGUUGCGGACAGUGUCUGGUGGGUAGUUUGACUGGGGCGGUCUCCUCCCAAAGCGUAACGGAGGAGCACGAAGGUUAGCUAAUCCUGGUCGGACAUCAGGAGGUUAGUGCAAUGGCAUAAGCUAGCUUGACUGCGAGCGUGACGGCGCGAGCAGGUGCGAAAGCAGGUCAUAGUGAUCCGGUGGUUCUGAAUGGAAGGGCCAUCGCUCAACGGAUAAAAGGUACUCCGGGGAUAACAGGCUGAUACCGCCCAAGAGUUCAUAUCGACGGCGGUGUUUGGCACCUCGAUGUCGGCUCAUCACAUCCUGGGGCUGAAGUAGGUCCCAAGGGUAUGGCUGUUCGCCAUUUAAAGUGGUACGCGAGCUGGGUUUAGAACGUCGUGAGACAGUUCGGUCCCUAUCUGCCGUGGGCGCUGGAGAAUUGAGGGGGGCUGCUCCUAGUACGAGAGGACCGGAGUGGACGCAUCACUGGUGUUCGGGUUGUCAUGCCAAUGGCACUGCCCGGUAGCUAAAUGCGGAAGAGAUAAGUGCUGAAAGCAUCUAAGCACGAAACUUGCCCCGAGAUGAGUUCUCCCUGAGACUUUAAGUCUCCUGAAGGAACGUUGAAGACGACGACGUUGAUAGGCCGGGUGUGUAAGCGCAGCGAUGCGUUGAGCUAACCGGUACUAAUGAACCGUGAGGCUUAACCUU